UACGAAGGAGGCUAGCGUUGCUCGGAAUCACUGGGCGUAAAGCGCACGUAGGCGGAUUGCUAAGUCAGGGGUGAAAUCCUGGAGCUCAACUCCAGAACUGCCUUUGAUACUGGCGAUCUCGAGUUCGGGAGAGGUGAGUGGAACUGCGAGUGUAGAGGUGAAAUUCGUAGAUAUUCGCAAGAACACCAGUGGCGAAGGCGGCUCACUGGCCCAAUACUGACGCUGAGGUGCGAAAGCGUGGGGAGCAAACAGG
rnacentral:rRNA from 1 species